AACUCUGUAUUCUGUGUCCAUGACAGUUUGUCGAGACUUCACUCACCUUAGAUAUCAGAGCUAGUUUCUUCUUUGUUAGAGUGUAGAUUACCCCUUUGCUUGGAAGUGUACUAGCACUUUAGAGGUUGCGGAUUACCCUCCUCUAAACUGAUACUUCUUUUGUUACAAUAUUGGAGUCUUAUUCUUCUUGGAGAGAGUGGAUUACCCCUUUCCUUGAAGCUCUUAAGGCAUUUUAGAGGUUGCGGAGUAUCCUCCUCUAAACCAAUAUUGUCUUCUUGUAGAG
rnacentral:lncRNA from 1 species